rnacentral:lncRNA from 1 species
CUCCAGCUGAGCGCUCCAAGGCCGAACCAGCGGGCCGGGCGGUCUGUGAGUGGGCGGCAGGUCUCUGGGGGAGGGGCUGCGGCGUUGACGGGCAGGCUGGCGGUCCCGCCCCUCUCGCCCAGAGCGGCCGCGCCAGAGCUGGGGACAGCAGAAGUGAGUACGUGAGCGGCGCAGCAAGAACCCAGCUCGGACCCCGGACGGAGAGCGCACCCGGAGACCCGGAUCUGAGUCGGGCCCCCGGCGGACUGCCGGAUUAUUGUGCACCUCGAACCACGACCACCUGCUCCCUCCUGCCUCCCGGAGUCCUCGGCAUCCAGUCACCCUGCGCCCCGGAUCCUCCUGGACCGGUCGGUCCGGAUUCCCGCGGGACCAACCUGCCCGCAUCCCUCAAGAUCGCCGGGCUCGGGGCGCCGCCUCGGUCCCAGAGCCGCCCGCCUGGAUUGCACCCCUUCUUACCCGGGUCUCCUGGGACCGUAAGCCAGCCUACCCAGGAGCCUGCCAAGCGGACCCUCUCUCGGGUGCACGCAGCCCCG